AUUGAACGCUGGCGGCAGGCCUAACACAUGCAAGUCGAGCGAGCGGCGGACGGGUGAGUAAUGUAUGGGGACUGCCCGAUAGAGGGGGAUAACUACUGGCAACGGUGGCUAAUACCGCAUACUAGCUGAGCACCCAUGUGGGAUUAGCUAGUAGGUGGGGUAAGGGCUCACCUAGGGGACGAUCUACAGCUGGACUGAGAGGAUGAUCAGCCACACGGGGACGGAGACACGGACCAGACUCCGACGGAGGCACCAGUGGGACAUAUUGCACAAUGGGCGCAAGCCUGAUGCAGCCAUGCCGCGUGUAUGAAGAAGGCCUUAGGGGUGUAAAGUACGUUCAGCGGGGAGGCGUUACCCGCAGAAGAAGCACCGGCUAACUCCGUGCCAGCAGCCGCGGUAAUUC
rnacentral:rRNA from 1 species